AAUAAAAAAAAAAAGAAAAGAAAAGAAAAGAGGAAAGAAGAAGAGACUAGAAGUGAAGAGAGAAACCCAUUUUUGUUUUCUCCAUUUUCUUCUCCUUCCUCUGCCGUGAAACCUCCUUUCUCCAUUUGUUUUUCUACACCAAAAUUGCUUCAAAAUUUCACCUCCAAUUAAUUCCCCAUCUUCUCUCAACACCUUUCCAAAGAAGCAUUUGAAGAAAAGAAGGGAAAUCAAAGAGAAAUUUCAAGGGUGAGGGAGAGUGAAUAGUAACCAAGGGUUUGGAAAUUUGAAAGAAGAAGUGGAAGGGAAAGGAAAAGAAAAUGAAAAUUAGGGAAUUUUAAGCUUGUGAAAGAUCUUGGGAAGGUGGUAGAUUCAAAGAGCAGUAGAUCAAGAUCUGCAUCAACCCAGCCAGAAUUACAUCAUCAUCUAUAUUGGGGUAUAUUUUGUAAAUUUUAUAUAAAGUUAAUUUUUGGAAAUAUGGCAUGUACAUAAGGUUUUAGAGAUAAAGUUGAAUAUGGUUUGGAACGGAUAUAGUUAAAUAUUUUAAUUUUGGUGUAAAUGUGGAUGAUUAGUAUAAGUUUAUGUGUUGAGACUAAUGAAAUGUUAUGAAGUGUUUGAUCGAAAUUGAAACUGUUUUGAUGUUGAAAGAAGUUUGGGGGUUAAGGUUGAAAUUGAUAGAAGUGUGAUAUUACUUUUCACAGGUGGAAUUAAGUCCAUAUUUUAGGGGAAACUCUGCCGGAUUUUUGGCUAAAAAAAAAAAAAAAGAAAAGGAAAAAGUAGAGAUAUUAGAUUAUAUAUAUAUAUAUAUAAAAGUCAUGAUUUACAUGAUAUAAAGUAAAGGAAA